UACAGAGGUCUCGAGCGUUAGGCGGAAUCACUGGGCUUAAAGCGUGUGUAGGCGGGGCGUUAAGUGCCUUGUGAAAUCCCAUGGCUCAACCAUGGAACUGCUGGGCAUACUGGCGAUCUUGUGCAACCUAGGGGCGAGCGGAACAGAUGGUGGAGCGGUGAAAUGCGUAGAUAUCAUCUGGAACGCCAAUGGUGAAAACAGCUCGCUGGGGGUUUGCAGACGCUGAGACACGAAAGCCAGGGGAGCGAACGGG
rnacentral:rRNA from 1 species